UUAUUUUAGAGCUUUAAGGCUGCAUUUUGUUGGAGAACUAAAUUUUGAAGAACAACUUUUGUUGUUCCCGAGAACAAGAGAUACUCCGGUAUAAGAUAGAACAAUUGUAAAUUUAUAUUUGGAUAUAUUCGAAAAUAUUCUCGAGGAUAUCCUUAGUAGCGUUUGGAUAAAAAGUGUAGAACAAUGUCUAAAUAGAUUUUAAAAUUAAAAUAAUUAAUUUAUAUUAGUAUAUUUUAUAUAAAAUUAUUUAUAAAAUUAUUUCUUAUAGUAAUUUAUAAUAUAAUAUUUUAUGUAACAAUUUAAUUUAUAUAAUUUAUUUUACUAUAUAUAAUAAUAAUUUAUUUUAUUAAUUUAUUAUAGUGUAAAUUUCAAUACAAAUUAAAAUAUAUAUAUAAUAUAUGAAAAAAAGAUUUUAUGUAUAUAAUACUUAAUAUAAAAUAAAAUAAUUAAAUAUUAAUAUAUAAAUAAUAAAACUUAAUAAAGUAAAUAACAUAUAAAAUUUAAUUAAUUUAUAUUAUAUAAUAAAUUUAAGUAUAAAUAUAUUAUCAUAAAAAUAAUAUUUAUAUUAAUAUAUUUAUUUAUAUAUCUAUUUAUCUAAUAAAAUAAGAGAAAAAUAAA
rnacentral:lncRNA from 1 species